GUAUCUUAUUUUUUCAUUCAUCUGAACUGAAGUGUGACAUCCCAGGGCCAGGUGUUUUAUCUGAGUUCCAUGCACAGACUCUGAGCCCCAGGAAGGCAGGGAGGAGUGGCACCUGCACAGGGCAGUGCAUGUCCGGUGCUCAGCAGUGAGGAGGACGAGCAGCUGGCGCCCUGGUCUUCUGUCCGUAGGCUGCAGGUGGACCCGCGGCAUCUUCGGAAGACAGGGGGCCCUCCGUGCUUGGAUCACGGUGGCCUUGGAGGGGUCACCUGGAGGGAGCCGUGAUCUCGCCCCGCCUCCAGGAAGGCCCCUCAUCGUGCCUGCGACCCGAGGAUUCCGCUCUCCGCUGCCUGCAGCUGAGUCCCGCCCCGGGCCCUUCCUCGUCUCCAUCUGCGGUCCAGGCAUCUCCCCGGCUGCCUCGCCACCCACUCCGGCAUCUCUCCCACCCAGCUUCCACCCUCCACUGGACAUCGCCCCCCAACGCGGGCAUCUCGGCUCUGUCCUGCCCAGAGUGGCCACAGC
rnacentral:lncRNA from 1 species